GACACGGCCCAGACUCCUACGGGAGGCAGCAGUGGGGAAUUUUGGACAAUGGGCGCAAGCCUGAUCCAGCUAUUCCGCGUGUGGGAAGACGGCCUUCGGGUUGUAAACCACUUUUGUAGAGAACGAAAAGUCUAUUGAUAAUACCGAUAGAUGAUGACGGUACUCUAAGAAUAAGCACCGGCUAACUACGUGCCAGCAGCCGCGGUAAUACGUAGGGUGCGAGCGUUAAUCGGAAUUACUGGGCGUAAAGGGUGUGCAGGCGGUUUUGCAAGAUGGAUGUGAAAGCCCCGGGCUUAACCUGGGAAAGCCAUACAUGACUGCAAGACUAGAGUGCGUCAGAGGGGGGUGGAAUUCCAAGUGUAGCAGUGAAAUGCGUAGAUAUUUGGAAGAACACCGAUGGCGAAGGCAGCCCCCUGGGACGCAACUGACGCUCAUACACGAAAGCGUGGGGAGCAACCAGGAUUAGAUACCCUGGUAGUCCACGCCCU
rnacentral:rRNA from 1 species